rnacentral:rRNA from 1 species
GGGACGGGUGAGUAAUGAUGUGAGAAUCUGCCCUCAGGAGGGGGAUAUCAGUGUCAAUCGUACCCUAAUACACCAUAUUCCGAGAGGUGAAUAUGAAUUUAUCUUGAGGAAGAUCUCGGGUACGACAAGAAUAGUCGUUGGGGCAAAGUCCUAUCAAGGUGAUGAUCAGUAGCUGGUUUGAGAGAAUGAUCAGUCACUCUGGGACAGAGACACGGUCCAGACUCCUACGGGAUCGCAGCAGUGGGGAAUUCUCGGACAAUGGGUGAAACCUCGAGGAAUACAACGCCGGGUGACGGAGAAGUACCUGAGGGCGAUAAACCUAGUUUCUCAAGGAUGAUGAUCCGUGAGAAAAGGAGGGAAUCAAUCCAGGAUCAUUCCUUCCCCGCAGGGUCGGUAUUAGUCGAGUGGCAAGCCUUAUCGGAAAAUUUCGCGCGUAAAGCUUCCGCAGGAGUCCAGGCAAGUUUUCAGUUACAGCGUGGAGGAUAAUCCCAUCAGACCAGUGGAAAAUGCUCGCCUAGAUAGGGUUAGGGCCAGCGAGAAAUCUAAUCGGAGGCAAGAACCUCUUAGAGAUAGAAAUGAACUCCAGUUGGGAAGAUCCUGGAUUAGCACAUAUUUGCAACUCAUGUACCAAACCCAGAGGGCAGGAAAGCGAUAGUAUAUCCCCGUUACUC